rnacentral:rRNA from 1 species
GGAUGAUCAGCCAGGCUGGAACUGAGACACGUCCCAGACUCCUACGGGAAGGCAGCAGUGAGGAUCUUCCCACAUGGGCGAAAGCCUGAUGGAGCAACGCCGCGUGAAGGAUGAGGCCNUUCGGGUUGUAAACUUCUUUAUGAGUGAAGAAUAUGACGGUAACUCAUGAAUAAGCACCGGCUAACUACGUGCCAGCAGCCGCGGUCAUACGUAGGGUGCAAGCAUUAUCCGGAGUGACUGGGCGUAAAGAGUUGCGUAGGCGGUUUAAUAAGUGAAUAGUGAAACCUGGUGGCUCAACCAUACAGACUAUUAUUCAAACUGUUAAACUCGAGAGUGGUAGAGGUAACUGGAAUUUCUAGUGUAGGAGUGAAAUCCGUAGAUAUUAGAAGGAACACCAAUGGCGUAGGCAGGUUACUGGACCAUUUCUGACGCUAAGGCACGAAAGCGUGGGGAGCGAACUGGAUUAGAUACCCAGGUAGUCCACGCCGUAAACGAUGGAUACUAGCUGUUGGAGGUAUCGACCCCUUCAGUAGCGAAGCUAACGCGUUAAGUAUCCCGCCUGUGGAUUACGGCCGCAAGGCUAAAACAUAAAGGAAUUGACGGGGACCCGCACAAGCGGUGGAUCAUGUUCUUUAAUUCGAUGAUAAACGAAGAACCUUACCAGGGUUUGACAUCCCGAGAAGAUUUACGAAAGUAAAUUGUGCCUUUUGGAACUCGGUGACAGAUGAUGCAUGGCCGUCGUCAGCUCGUGUCGUGAGAUGUUUGGUUAAGUCCAUCAACGAGCGCAACCCUUGUGAAUAGUUGAAUUUUUCUAUUCAGACUGCCCCGGCAACGGGGAGGAAGGAGGGGAUGAUGUCAGGUCAGUAUUUCUCUUACAUCCUGGGCUAGAAACGUGAUACAAUGGCAAGUACAAUGCGCAGCGAAGCCGCGAGGUGAAGCAAAUCGCACCAAAGCUUGUCCCAGUUCGGAUUGGAGGCUGAAACUCGCCUCCAUGAAGUCGGAAUCGCUAGUAAUCGCAGGUCAGCAAACUGCGGUGAAUACGUUCCCGGGUCUUGCACACACCGCCCGUCAAG